AUGAACGCUGGCGGCGUGCCUAAUACAUGCAAGUCGAGCGAACAGACGAGGAGCUUGCUCCUCUGACGUUAGCGGCGGACGGGUGAGUAACACGUGGAUAACCUACCUAUAAGACUGGGAUAACUUCGGGAAACCGGAGCUAAUACCGGAUAAUAUAUUGAACCGCAUGGUUCAAUAGUGAAAGACGGUUUUGCUGUCACUUAUAGAUGGAUCCGCGCCGCAUUAGCUAGUUGGUAAGGUAACGGCUUACCAAGGCAACGAUGCGUAGCCGACCUGAGAGGGUGAUCGGCCACACUGGAACUGAGACACGGUCCAGACUCCUACGGGAGGCAGCAGUAGGGAAUCUUCCGCAAUGGGCGAAAGCCUGACGGAGCAACGCCGCGUGAGUGAUGAAGGUCUUCGGAUCGUAAAACUCUGUUAUUAGGGAAGAACAAAUGUGUAAGUUACUAUGCACGUCUUGACGGUACCUAAUCAGAAAGCCACGGCUAACUACGUG
rnacentral:rRNA from 1 species